CAGCAGCCGCGGUAAUACGUAGGUGGCAAGCGUUGUCCGGAAUUAUUGGGCGUAAAGGGCUCGCAGGCGGUUUCUUAAGUCUGAUGUGAAAGCCCCCGGCUCAACCGGGGAGGGUCAUUGGAAACUGGGAAACUUGAGUGCAGAAGAGGAGAGUGGAAUUCCACGUGUAGCGGCGAAAUGCGUAGAGAUGUGGAGGAACACCAGUGGCGAAGGCGACUCUCUGGUCUGUAACUGACGCUGAGGAGCGAAAGCGUGGGGAGCGAACAGGAUUAGAUACCCCCGUAGUCCCUGUCUCUUAUAC
rnacentral:rRNA from 1 species